GACUCACCCCAACUCAGCAGCGACAGAAGCUCCUAUACUCAGGACCUUCCCAGACUUCCCCCAAGUGUCUCUUCAUCUGGUUGUUCAUCUGUAUCCUUUAUCAUAUCCUGUCAUAAACUGGUCAAGGAAGAUUAGCCCUGAGCUAACAUCCACUGCCAAUCCUCCUCUUUUUGCUGAGGAAGAUUGGCCCUGAGCUAACACCCGUGCCCAUCUUCCUCUACUUUAUAUGUGGGACACCUGCCACAGCAUGGCCUGAUAAGUCCACACCUGAGAUCACAGCCGGGGAACCCCAGGCCACCGAAGUAGAGCCCUCGAACUUCAAUACGCCACUGGGUCUGCCCCAAAGUUGCAUUUCUUUUGUUACUAUUAUUGUUACAAAUGGCUUCACAUGUUUACUGGUCAUUUACACUUAGUUUUAAAUCAGAUGUCUGUUAUGCUCCGUGCCUGUUCCUACUGGGGUGGUGUCUUUUUCCUAUUGAUUUGUAAUGAUAUCAACACUUUUUCAGAUAUAUAUUGAAUUGUCCUAAUUUAUCCUUUGCCUAUUAAUUUUAUGAUUUUUUUGAUGCACAAAAUCUUUUUGCUGUCAUAUUUUUCAAUCUUUC
ensembl:lncRNA